AGUGAACGCUGGCGGUAGGCCUAACACAUGCAAGUCGAACGGCAGCACAGUAAGAGCUUGCUCUUACGGGUGGCGAGUGGCGGACGAGUGAGGAAUACAUCGGAAUCUACUUUUUCGUGGGGGAUAACGUAGGGAAACUUACGCUACUACCGCAUACGACCUACGGGUGAAAGCAGGGGAUCUUCGUACCUUGCGCGAUUGAAUGAGCCGAUGUCGGAUUAGCUAGUUGGCGGGGUAAAGGCCCACCAAGGCGACGAUCCGUAGCUGGUCUGAGAGGAUGAUCAGCCACACUGGAACUGGGACACGGUCCAGACUCCUACGGGAGGAAGCGGUGGGGAAUAUUGGACAAUGGGCGCAAGCCUGAUCCAGCCAUACCGCGUGGGUGAAGAAGGCCUUCGGGUUGUAAAGCCCUUUUGUUGGGAAAGAAAAGCAGCAGGUUAAUACCCCGCUGUUCUGACGGUACCCAAAGAAUAAGCACCGGCUAACUUCGUG
rnacentral:rRNA from 1 species